UACGUAGGUGGCAAGCGUUAUCCGGAUUUACUGGGUGUAAAGGGCGAGUAGGCGGGAUUGCAAGUCAGAUGUGAAAACUAUGGGCUCAACCGAUAGAGUGCAUUUGAAACUGCAGUUCUUGAGUGAUGGAGAGGCAGGUGGAAUUCCCGGUGUAGCGGUGGAAUGCGUAGAUAUCGGGAGGAACACCAGUGGCGAAGGCGGCCUGCUGGACAUUAACUGACGCUGAGGCGCGAAAGCGUGGGGAGCAAACAGG
rnacentral:rRNA from 1 species